CCUGACCAGGACUCGAACCCGUGUCCCCUGCAUUAGCAGGCUGACUCUCAACCACUGUGCCACCAGGGAAGCCCCAGGGGCGUAUUUUUAACAUUUAACCAUCUGCAGUUGAUUUUUGCAUGUGGUGUAACGUAAGGAUCCAAUUUAAUCUUCUCUUCCAUAUGGACUGUCAUUUUUCCAGGCCUAAUUUUUGAAUUGAUGUGACAUACAAGCCAUAUCACAUACCAUAGCAUCCUACAUACGUGGUUCUGUUUAUGGACUUUCUUUUUAUUGGUCACCUACUUUAUCACUGCAUUGACCAUAAUGAGCCAUGGUAUCUGGUUAAGAAAGGCUCCCCUCUCUUUUUUUGUUUGUUUUUUUGUGUUUCAACCAGGAGUGUUCUGGCUAUUUUCACCCUUUUACUCUUUUAUGUCAAGUUUGGAGCCAUUUCAUCAAGUUCCAGGAAAAUCUCUGUUGGGUACUAGUCUGUGCUCUUUACACGUGCAGCUCAUUGAACCCUCACCACUACCUGAUGAAGAUUAACUUCCUAGAAGUGGAAUUACAACAAAAGAGAGUAUAAACACAUCUGACUACUGGAGCGAUAAGAAAGAUGUUUCUGAAAAAAAGCGACCAUUUCUUUGUUAGUGGCAAUGUAUAAAAACACUUGUUUUAUAAAAA